rnacentral:rRNA from 1 species
GACGAACGCUGACGGCGUGCUUUAGACAUGCAAGUCGAACGAGAAAGCCCUUCGGGGUUAGUAAAGUGGCGAACGGGUGAGUAACACGUGGGCAAUCUGCCCUUCGUAGGGGGACAACCGGGGGAAACCCCGGCUAAUACCCCGUAAGCUUGUCGGGUCGCAUGGCCUGACAAGGAGAGGUAGCUUCGGCCAUCCGGCGAAGGAGGAGCCCGCGGUUCAUUAGCUAGUUGGUGAGGUAACGGCUCACCAAGGCUACGAUGUAUAGCUGGUCUGAGAGGAUGAUCAGCCACACUGGGACUGAGACACGGCCCAGACUCCUACGGGAGGCAGCAGUCGGGAAUCUUGCACAAUGGGCGAAAGCCUGAUGCAGCAACGCCGUGUGAGCGACGAAGGCCCUAGGGUCGUAAAGCUCUGUUGUUAGGGACGAAGGGCGAAGGGUUAAUAGCCCUUAGCCUGACGGUACCUUUCGAGGAAGCCCCGGCUAACUACGUGCCAGCCGCCGCCGUAAUAC